AAAGACUGUCUCGAAACCACUCAAGGUCAUAUGAUUCUAGAACGCAAGUGGCCGCUGUUAGCCCAUGCGGUUCCGUCUCAUCUUCAGCUCUCCUGAAGGUUGACAGCUCAGUCAUGAAAACUCAUAGCUCUGCUCCCGCUUUCAGGAGAAUUCUCGCAUCCAUCUAUUGUAUCCUCCCAUUCCAGAUGGGGCUCCUAACCCAUCUCAGACCCCGGCUGGGCACAGGAGCUAACAAGGCAGGCAACUUAAGUUCCUACUGCUCUGCUGCUGGGCUAUGCUGUGUGGAGAGGCUGAGGCGAGGCACGUGAGCUCAAGUGGAGCAUGUGCAGGGCCACCAUCAUUAUGGAAAUCCUGACUCUGAAGGCCAACGCUGCGUCUAAAUGAGUUGAAAUGAAAUUCAAAGAACACAUCCAUCACUCUGGUUCACCCUGGUUCAGCCUCACAUCUCAUUAUUGUGCUACUCUGCCUGUGUAUUAUGAAUUAAUAUAUUUAAUAAAUCCUGUAAUUAUCUUGUGAACAGCA